CAAGUCGAACGGGAUCCAUGAUGUAGCAAUACAUCGGAAGAUCUAGUGGCGAACGGGUGAGGAUCACGUGAGAAACCUGCCCCAGACUCUGGGAUAACAAUUGGAAACGAUUGCUAAUACCGGAUGACGUCGGAGAACCGCAUGGUUCACUGACGAAAGAUAUUUCGGUUUGGGAGGGUCUCGCGGCCUAUCAGCUUGUUGGUGGGGUAAUGGCCUACCAAGGCAACGACGGGUAGCUGGUCUGAGAGGAUGAUCAGCCACACUGGGACUGAGACACGGCCCAGACUCCUACGGGAGGCAGCAGUGGGGAAUCUUGCGCAAUGGGCGAAAGCCUGACGCAGCAACGCCGCGUGCGGGAUGAAGGCCUUCGGGCUGUAAACCGCUUUCAGCAGGAACGAAAAUGACGGUACCUGCAGAAGAAGGAGCGGCCAACUACGUGCCAGCAGCCGCGGUGACACGUAGGCUCCAAGCGUUGUCCGGAUUUAUUGGGCGUAAAGAGCUCGUAGGCGGUUUAGUAAGUCGGGUGUGAAAACUCUGGGCUUAACCCGGAGACGCCAUCCGAUACUGCUAUGACUUGAGUUCAGGAGGGGAGCGGGGAAUUCCUAGUGUAGCGGUGAAAUGCGCAGAUAUUAGGAGGAACACCGGUGGCGAAGGCGCCGCUCUGGACUGAAACUGACGCUGAGGAGCGAAAGCAUGGGUAGCAAACAGGAUUAGAUACCCUGGUAGUCCAUGCCGUAAACGGUGGGCACUAGGUGUGGGUUCCAACUAACGGGAUCCGCGCCGUCGCUAACGCAUUAAGUGCCCCGCCUGGGGAGUACGGUCGCAAGACUAAAACUCAAAGGAAUUGACGG
rnacentral:rRNA from 1 species